UGGGGAAUAUUGGACAAUGGGCGAAAGCCUGAUCCAGCCAUGCCGCGUGUGUGAAGAAGGUCUUCGGAUUGUAAAGCACUUUAAGUUGGGAGGAAGGGCAUUAACCUAAUACGUUAGUGUUUUGACGUUACCGACAGAAUAAGCACCGGCUAACUCUGUGCCCGCAGCCGCGGUAAUACAGAGGGUGCAAGCGUUAAUCGGAAUUACUGGGCGUAAAGCGCGCGUAGGUGGUUUGUUAAGUUGGAUGUGAAAUCCCCGGGCUCAACCUGGGAACUGCAUUCAAAACUGACUGACUAGAGUAUGGUAGAGGGUGGUGGAAUUUCCUGUGUAGCGGUGAAAUGCGUAGAUAUAGGAAGGAACACCAGUGGCGAAGGCGACCACCUGGACUAAUACUGACACUGAGGUGCGAAAGCGUGGGGAGCAAACA
rnacentral:rRNA from 1 species